rnacentral:rRNA from 1 species
AUUUAUUAAAACUUUCAACAACGGAUCUCUUGGUUCUGGCAUCGAUGAAGAACGCAGCGAAAUGCGAUACGUAGUGUGAAUUGCAGAAUUCAGUGAAUCAUCGAAUCUUUGAACGCACAUUGCGCCCUUUGGUAUUCCAAAGGGCAUGCCUGUUCGAGCGUCAUUUG